rnacentral:lncRNA from 1 species
CUGCUAAUAGACUAAUAGAAGCAUCUUUGUUGCAGCCAAUCACCUCUAGCCUGGGAACACCGCUAGUCAGGAGGCCUCAAUCAACCUGAGAAGUCAGCCCAAGGCCCUGUCUCCAGAAGCCAGCAGCAGAUCCCUGGGUCAUGUCACAGGCAAGUCCUCACUUCACCAGCUCAGAGGAUGACACUGGGUUACAACCAUCCCACACGAGGAGAGUGACAUGUCCCAACUUGCUUCUGGCCCAUGUUUUACAAGAAGCUUGUCCGGCAGGCAAAAUAGCCCUCAACACAGGAACACCUGUUGCAGCACCUGUCAGUAGCGUCUGGCACCCUGGCAGCUGACGUCUCAGUGCAGCCGGCAAGGACACUCUGGGAAGAGGACGCAGUGGCCUUAUGAGUGAACGACGGAGAAGCCGGAGGGAGGAGGCCUGGCCUGUCUGCCUUGGAAGCUAAUGAUGCCCAUUGUUUCUAUACCCACCGCCCAGGCAGCUGUCCAUCUGCCGAUGCUCCUAACAGUUCGCCCUCAGAAGACCACGAGGAAGCCUGGGGUGCCUGGCCAUUCAGAGGUCCUCAGUACACGGACAUCCCUUGGUAUCCUCAGAGAAUUGGUUCCAA